UAACACAUGCAAGUCGAACGGGCACUUCGGUGCUAGUGGCAGACGGGUGAGUAACACGUGGGAACGUACCUUUCGGUUCGGAAUAAUUCAGGGAAACUUGGACUAAUACCGGAUACGCCCUUUGGGGGAAAGAUUUAUCGCCGAUAGAUCGGCCCGCGUCUGAUUAGCUAGUUGGUGAGGUAAAGGCUCACCAAGGCGACGAUCAGUAGCUGGUCUGAGAGGAUGAUCAGCCACAUUGGGACUGAGACACGGCCCAAACUCCUACGGGAGGCAGCAGUGGGGAAUAUUGGACAAUGGGCGCAAGCCUGAUCCAGCCAUGCCGCGUGAGUGAUGAAGGCCUUAGGGUUGUAAAGCUCUUUUGUCCGGGAAGAUAAUGACUGUACCGGAAGAAUAAGCCCCGGCUAACUUCGUGCCAG
rnacentral:rRNA from 1 species